AUUGAACGCUGGCGGCAGGCCUAACACAUGCAAGUCGAGCGGUAACACAGAGGAGCUUGCUCCUUGGGUGACGAGCGGCGGACGGGUGAGUAAUGCCUGGGGAUCUGCCCGAUAGAGGGGGAUAACUACGGGAAACUGUAGCUAAUACCGCAUAACGUCUACGGACCAAAGUGGGGGCUCUUCGGACCUCAUGCUAACGGACGAACCCAGGUGGGAUUAGCUAGUUGGUGAGGUAAUGGCUCACCAAGGCGACGAUCUCUAACUGGUUUGAGAGAAUGACCAGUCACACUGGAACUGAGACACGGUCCAGACUCCUACGGGAGGCAGCAGUGGGGAAUAUUGCGCAAUGGGCGCAAGCCUGAUGCAGCCAUGCCGCGUGUGUGAAGAAGGCCUUCGGGUUGUAAAGCACUUUCAGCGAGGAGGAAGGGUUACUAGCUAAUACCUAGUGACAUUGACGUUACUCGCAGAAGAAGCACCGGCUAACUCCGUGCCAGCCGCCGCAGUAA
rnacentral:rRNA from 1 species